ACUCCUACGGGAGGCAGCAGUGGGGAAGUAUUGCACAAUGGGGAAACCCGUGAUGCAGCCAUGCCGCGUGUGUGAAGAAGGCCUUCGGGUUGUAAAGCACUUUCAGUAGGGAGGAAGGUGAUGUAGUUAACACCUGCAUUAUUUGACGUUACCUACAGAAGAAGCACCGGCUAACUCCGUGCCAGCAGCCGCGGUAAUACGGAGGGUGCGAGCGUUAAUCGGAAUUACUGGGCGUAAAGCGCAUGCAGGCGGCUUGUUAAGUCAGAUGUGAAAGCCCGGGGCUUAACCUCGGAAUUGCAUUUG
rnacentral:rRNA from 1 species